rnacentral:rRNA from 1 species
AGGGUUUGAUUCUGGCUCAGAUUGAACGCUGGCGGCAUGCCUAAUACAUGCAAGUCGAACGGAAACGAUGGAAGCUUGCUUCCAGGCGUCGAGUGGCGGACGGGUGAGUAAUACUUAGGAAUCUGCCUAUUAGUGGGGGACAACUCGAGGAAACUCGAGCUAAUACCGCAUACGCCCUAAGGGGGAAAGCGGGGGAUCUUCGGACCUCGUGCUAAUAGAUGAGCCUAAGCCGGAUUAGCUUGUUGGUAGGGUAAUGGCCUACCAAGGCUACGAUCCGUAGCUGGUCUGAGAGGACGAUCAGCCACACUGGGACUGAGACACGGCCCAGACUCCUACGGGAGGCAGCAGUAGGGAAUAUUGCACAAUGGGCGAAAGCCUGAUGCAGCAAUGCCGCGUGUGUGAAGAAGGCCUGAGGGUUGUAAAGCACUUUCAAUAGUGAAGAAAAGCAUAAGGAUAAUAACCUUAUGUGUUGACGUUAACUAUACAAGAAGCACCGGCUAACUCCGUGCCAGCCGCCGCGGUAAUAC